rnacentral:sRNA from 12 species
GGCCUCACCUCAUGGUGAAAAACAAACGAAAUGCGGGCAGUGCCGGUAGACGGGACCGAUAAUCCCGGCCGACGGUAACGAAGCAAGAGAAAAUUGCAGACAC